ACUAAGCGUACACGGUGGAUGCCCUGGCAGUCAGAGGCGAUGAAGGGCGUGCUAAUCUGCGAUAAGCGCCGGUAAGGUGAUAUGAACCGUUAUAACCGGCGAUACCCGAAUGGGGAAACCCAGUGUGAUUCGUCACACUAUCAUUAACUGAAUCCAUAGGUUAAUGAGGCGAACCGGGGGAACUGAAACAUCUAAGUACCCCGAGGAAAAGAAAUCAACCGAGAUUCCCCCAGUAGCGGCGAGCGAACGGGGAGGAGCCCAGAGCCUGAAUCAGCAUGUGUGUUAGUGGAAGCGUCUGGAAAGGCGCGCGAUACAGGGUGACAGCCCCGUACACAAAAGCGCAUAUGCUGUGAGCUCGAUGAGUAGGGCGGGACACGUGGUAUCCUGUCUGAAUAUGGGGGGACCAUCCUCCAAGGCUAAAUACUCCUGACUGACCGAUAGUGAACCAGUACCGUGAGGGAAAGGCGAAAAGAACCCGGCGAGGGGAGUGAAAAAGAACCUGAAACCGUGUACGUACAAGCAGUGGUGGUGAGCAUCCUUUGCUGAGGAUUUAACUGUGUGACUGCGUACCUUUUGUAUAAUGGGUCAGCGACUUAUAUUCUGUAGCAAGGUUAACCGUAUAGGGGAGCCGUAGGGAAACCGAGUCUUAAUUGGGCGUUAAGUUGCAGGGUAUAGACCCGAAACCCGGUGAUCUAGCCAUGGGCAGGUUGAAGGUUGGGUAACACUAACUGGAGGACCGAACCGACUAAUGUUGAAAAAUUAGCGGAUGACCUGUGGCUGGGGGUGAAAGGCCAAUCAAACCGGGAGAUAGCUGGUUCUCCCCGAAAGCUAUUUAGGUAGCGCCUCGUGAAUUCAUCUCCGGGGGUAGAGCACUGUUUCGGCUAGGGGGCCAUCCCGGCUUACCAACCCGAUGCAAACUGCGAAUACCGGAGAAUGUUAUCACGGGAGACACACGGCGGGUGCUAACGUCCGUCGUGAAGAGGGAAACAACCCAGACCGCCAGCUAAGGUCCCAAAGUCAUGGUUAAGUGGGAAACGAUGUGGGAAGGCCCAGACAGCCAGGAUGUUGGCUUAGAAGCAGCCAUCAUUUAAAGAAAGCGUAAUAGCUCACUGGUCGAGUCGGCCUGCGCGGAAGAUGUAACGGGGCUAAACCAUGCACCGAAGCUGCGGCAGCGACGCUGAUGCGUUGUUGGGUAGGGGAGCGUUCUGUAAGCCUGUGAAGGUGGCCUGUGAGGGUUGCUGGAGGUAUCAGAAGUGCGAAUGCUGACAUAAGUAACGAUAAAGCGGGUGAAAAGCCCGCUCGCCGGAAGACCAAGGGUUCCUGUCCAACGUUAAUCGGGGCAGGGUGAGUCGACCCCUAAGGCGAGGCCGAAAGGCGUAGUCGAUGGGAAACGGGUUAAUAUUCCCGUACUUGGUGUUACUGCGAAGGGGGGACGGAGAAGGCUAUGUUGGCCGGGCGACGGUUGUCCCGGUUUAAGCGUGUAGGCUGGUUUUCCAGGCAAAUCCGGAAAAUCAAGGCUGAGGCGUGAUGACGAGGCACUACGGUGCUGAAGCAACAAAUGCCCUGCUUCCAGGAAAAGCCUCUAAGCAUCAGGUAACAUCAAAUCGUACCCCAAACCGACACAGGUGGUCAGGUAGAGAAUACCAAGGCGCUUGAGAGAACUCGGGUGAAGGAACUAGGCAAAAUGGUGCCGUAACUUCGGGAGAAGGCACGCUGACAUGUAGGUGAAGUGAUUUACUCAUGGAGCUGAAGUCAGUCGAAGAUACCAGCUGGCUGCAACUGUUUAUUAAAAACACAGCACUGUGCAAACACGAAAGUGGACGUAUACGGUGUGACGCCUGCCCGGUGCCGGAAGGUUAAUUGAUGGGGUCAGCGCAAGCGAAGCUCCUGAUCGAAGCCCCGGUAAACGGCGGCCGUAACUAUAACGGUCCUAAGGUAGCGAAAUUCCUUGUCGGGUAAGUUCCGACCUGCACGAAUGGCGUAAUGAUGGCCAGGCUGUCUCCACCCGAGACUCAGUGAAAUUGAACUCGCUGUGAAGAUGCAGUGUACCCGCGGCAAGACGGAAAGACCCCGUGAACCUUUACUAUAGCUUGACACUGAACAUUGAGCCUUGAUGUGUAGGAUAGGUGGGAGGCUUUGAAGUGUGGACGCCAGUCUGCAUGGAGCCGACCUUGAAAUACCACCCUUUAAUGUUUGAUGUUCUAACGUGGACCCGUAAUCCGGGUUGCGGACAGUGUCUGGUGGGUAGUUUGACUGGGGCGGUCUCCUCCUAAAGAGUAACGGAGGAGCACGAAGGUUGGCUAAUCCUGGUCGGACAUCAGGAGGUUAGUGCAAUGGCAUAAGCCAGCUUGACUGCGAGCGUGACGGCGCGAGCAGGUGCGAAAGCAGGUCAUAGUGAUCCGGUGGUUCUGAAUGGAAGGGCCAUCGCUCAACGGAUAAAAGGUACUCCGGGGAUAACAGGCUGAUACCGCCCAAGAGUUCAUAUCGACGGCGGUGUUUGGCACCUCGAUGUCGGCUCAUCACAUCCUGGGGCUGAAGUAGGUCCCAAGGGUAUGGCUGUUCGCCAUUUAAAGUGGUACGCGAGCUGGGUUUAGAACGUCGUGAGACAGUUCGGUCCCUAUCUGCCGUGGGCGCUGGAGAACUGAGGGGGGCUGCUCCUAGUACGAGAGGACCGGAGUGGACGCAUCACUGGUGUUCGGGUUGUCAUGCCAAUGGCACUGCCCGGUAGCUAAAUGCGGAAGAGAUAAGUGCUGAAAGCAUCUAAGCACGAAACUUGCCCCGAGAUGAGUUCUCCCUGAGACUUAGAGUCUCCUGAAGGAACGUUGAAGACGACGACGUUGAUAGGCCGGGUGUGUAAGCGCAGCGAUGCGUUGAGCUAACCGGUACUAAUGAACCGUGAGGCUUAACC
rnacentral:rRNA from 1 species